AACGAACGCUGGCGGCAGGCUUAACACAUGCAAGUCGAACGCGUGUAGCAAUACACGAGUGGCGCACGGGUGCGUAACGCGUGGGAACCUUCCUCGUAGUUCGGAAUAACCCAGGGAAACUUGGGCUAAUACCGGAUACCUCCUUCGGGAGAAAGAUUUAUCGCUAUGAGAUGGGCCCGCGUCAGAUUAGGUAGUUGGUAGGGUAACGGCCUACCAAGCCGACGAUCUGUAGGUGGUCUGAGAGGAUGGUCAGCCACACUGGGACUGAGACACGGCCCAGACUCCUACGGGAGGCAGCAGUGGGGAAUAUUGGACAAUGGGGGCAACCCUGAUCCAGCCAUGCCGCGUGAGUGAAGAAGGCCUUCGGGUUGUAAAGCUCUUUCGACGGGGACGAUGAUGACGGUACCCGUAUAAGAAGCCCCGGCUAACUUCGUGCCAGCAGCCGCAGUAA
rnacentral:rRNA from 1 species